CAAUAGCGUAUAUUAAAGUUGUUGCGGUUAAAAAGCUCGUAGUUGGAUUUCUGCCGAGGACGACCGGUCCGCCCUCUGGGUGUGUAUCUGGUUUGGCCUGGGCAUCUUCUUGGAGAACGUAGCUGCACUUGACUGUGUGGUGCGGUGUCCAGGACUUUUACUUUGAGGAAAUUAGAGUGUUUCAAGCAGGCACACGCCUUGAAUACAUUAGCAUGGAAUAAUAAGAUAGGACCUCGGUUCUAUUUUGUUGGUUUCUAGAGCUGAGGUAAUGAUUAAUAGGGAUAGUUGGGGGCAUUCGUAUUUAAUAGCUAGAGGUAAAAUUCUUGGAUUUGUUAAAGACGGACUACUGCGAAAGCAUUUGCCAAGGAUGUUUUCAUUGA
rnacentral:rRNA from 1 species